rnacentral:lncRNA from 1 species
CAAGUGACCCCAGAACGCCUGUCACCUGCGAGGGUAAGGACUGUUGAGUCCAGCCUCAGUCUGUGCCAUAUGUGAACCCCUCAGGCUCAGCACAGAGAGGUGGCAUAUAUGGUUGCAGGGAGGUGGGGCAGACGCAAUUCUUAUAAUUGAGUCUCAGGUUGAAAUGCUCUUCUCUGUUCCAUGGUUUUUGAUCACAGAACGGAGAAUGCAGGAUAAACUGUAGCUCUUCUGUGAAAAACAUAAGUUCAGAGAAAUGCGGUCAUAUCCGCGUGCACUCCUGCUUCCCGUGUGUAUUGAAAACAAGAUUUUUUUUCUCACCUCAGUAAGAACAGCUGCACUGUAAUUGGGAGCACCUGAUGUUUCUGCCACUAAACUUCAGUUGUGUAUUUGAACCAUCAUCACAUUCAUCGUCAUUGUGUUUUUUUCUAUUACUCAUAAGAACAAGAAGAUUAAGGUAGGAAAUUAUGACCAUAACUAGGUGGGACCUUUCAGUGUUCAAACCACAAACAAGAAACUCAAUAGCAUUUCCUGCAACUGUUAUUUUAUUAGUAUUGUUUUAUUUUUCAUUAUAACCUUAAAUAUUUAUCAAAAAGUUAACAUUUCAGUGAUUAAAAUUAAGAUACUUUUCUUUUACAAGGUUUUGAUCAUUUUUACGUAUUUGAUUUGGAACUCUGCUUCUUAUUGCUAGAAGGCCUUUCCUUCUCCAUAGGAAUAAUCAAAAUUAGUUUUAAUCAACAUUAGGCCCCUGUUGGAUCACAGGCCCUAAGUGGAUUCCCAGGCCCCAGGUGCACAUCAGGCACAGGUGUACAAGCAGACACUGGGUGGACUUACCUGUGUACAGGCGCCUCUGGCCAUUUGGGCAAAGGCGCCCCCAAGUACCACAGGGCAGCCCAGGGCAGGCCCUACCAGGCCAGGCCCCACCGGUGAUCCCAUCGCGGCCACAUCUGCACAUUGUUCUUGUCCAGCUGGAGCCUCUGGAGUUCAUCGAGGCACAGGCACACGCAACACAGGAAAUUCCAGCGCCAGCUGAUGAGCCAGUGCCAGCACCAGGGGAAGACCCCCCUUCAGGGACAGAACUGGAGCUAUCAGCAGCUCCAGAUCCCUCCUGCCCCUGUCCUGGUCCUGCCAAGGACCAGCCCAGUGAGGAGCUACCUGACAUCAUGAGAUCUGCUCUAGCCACUGGCCUCAGCCCUGGAGCUGAAAGCAUGGCUGGAGCAAGAGGUGGAAGAGAGGGGGUGGCCAGCACGGCCCCAGCCCGCAUCUCCCACGCUGGGCUCAGUCCUGGGCACAGUGGGAGACAUGGAGGUAGAGACCCGGGUAUAUGGCCUGCGCUCCUCUGACUCGCCAGAGAGAGGCUUCUCUCAUUCAGCAGAGCUGCAGCCCUGCGGCUGAAGGGCCUGCUGCUGCUCCUGCUGGGGUUGUUUGCCUGCCUGCAAGAGGCGCUGGGGGGCAGGAAAAGAAACCUGGGAGGAGGGGAUCCAGCAGCUCCUCCUGCUCCCAGAGGCGGCUUCUUCCUCCAACCUUGGAGGUCUGCCCUCAACUGGGCUUCUGGGCUGUUUGUCCCUGAGGUGCUGCCCAGGACAGGCUCUUCUUGACAGGUGGGCAGGGGUGUGGAGGCCAGGGGGCAUCUCCAAAGGGUAUCAAAACCGAAGCUUCAAAACUCAGCACUUGUGCCCCCAAAUCGCCAUGCCAUGCCACCACCUGCCCUAGAAUUCAUCCAUAGUGUUAAAAUUACAAGUUUCUACAAUAACAUUUAAAUAAAGUUUGACUUUUUGAAAG